rnacentral:rRNA from 1 species
CCUACGGGAGGCUGCAGUAAGGAAUCUUGCGCAAUGGGCGAAAGCCUGACGCAGCAACGCCGCGUGAGUGAUGAAGGCCUUCGGGUCGUAAAGCUCUGUCAGAGGGGAAGAAAUGCAGGUGGUGAACAACCAUUCUGUUUGACGGUACCCUCAAAGGAAGCACCGGCUAACUCCGUGCCAGCAGCCGCGGUAAUACGGAGGGUGCGAGCGUUGUUCGGAACUAUUGGGCGUAAAGCGCGUGUAGGCGGUUUUUUAAGUCUGAUGUGAAAGCCCCGGGCUCAACCUGGGAAGUGCAUUGGAUACUGGCAGACUUGAGUACGGGAGAGGAGAGUGGAAUUCCCAGUGUAGGAGUGAAAUCCGUAGAUAUUGGGAGGACCACCGGUGGCGAGGGCGGCUCUCGGGACCGAUACUGACGCUGAGACGCGAAAGCGUGGGGAGCAAACAGGAUUAGAUCCCCGGGUAGU